rnacentral:lncRNA from 1 species
GCUCCAAAUACAUCCAGAGAUGAGAAGAAAGACGGUGACCUGAUUCUGGAAGUUCAGAUGUCCAUGUUGGUGACCUGAUUCAGGAAGUCUUUCAGGAGGAUAUCAAGCUUGGAUCUUGGAUAGAACUGGGAUGCGAGGCACUGGUGAUUGGGCAAUAUCCCUGCCUGUAGGAUUCUUUGUGGAAUGCUGGAUAUUCAUAUUCUGGUCUUUUCUUAUCUCUGGUUGCCUCAGGGAAGUAAGAACCCAUCUGGGAAAGAGAGGACAGGACUGAAGAGGGACUCAAGGAAGUUGAGCUUACUGGAUUGGGGGUGAAUGUUAAAGUUCCAGUUUGAACAGAGCCCAAGCUGGAGACCAGGAGAAUCUAGAGGAAGGAGGUGACACAGGCCUGCUCCUAGUCUGAUGGGAAAACCUACGUUAUACCCUCAAAGAACCCCAAUCUGAUGGAGUUUUGCUGUUGUUGCCCAGAUUGGAGUGCAGUGGUACGAUCUCAGCUCACUGCAACCUCUGCCUCCUGGUUUCAAGCGAUUCUUCUGCCGCAGCCUCCUGGGUAGCUGGGAUUACAGGUAUCCGCCAUCACG